UACGGAGGGUGCAAGCGUUGCUCGGAAUUAUUGGGCGUAAAGGGUAGGUAGGUGGUCUCAUUAGUCUGGGGUGAAAGCCUUGGGCUUAACUCAAGAAGGGCCUCAGAAACGGUGAGACUAGAGUCCUGGAGAGGGUCGCGGAAUUCCCUGUGUAGCGGUGAAAUGCGUAGAGAUAGGGAGGAACACCAGAGGCGAAGGCGGCGGCCUGGACAGGAACUGACACUCAACUACGAAAGCGUGGGUAGCAAACAGG
rnacentral:rRNA from 1 species